AUGGCUUCCUCCGGCUACCUCAGAGCGGCCAGCGGCGCCACUCGCAGCCGCCAGGCGCUCCUCCUCCGGCAGCGCCCCGCGACACCGCGCGCGCUCGUCGCUUCCUCAGCGACGCGGCACGCGUCGACAGUCCCCAACCCGCCGCCCGGGAUGGAGCCUUUGCCAGAGGACGCGCCGCGGCAGACACCGCCGAGGCUCGGGGAGCCGGACCCCGUGGGACCCCCCACGCCGACGCCCAAGGAGAAGAUAACCGGCACGCCGCCGUCGGAGGAGGAUGACGGUGGGCUACCCGGCGGAGUGCCGGACACGACCCCGCCACCGGACGUGCCGCUGCCCCCUGUGUCGCCCGAUGGUAGCACCGUCUAG
rnacentral:rRNA from 1 species